GUGGAUAUAGCUCAGUGGUAGUGUGCAUGCUUAGCACGCACAAGGUCCUGGGUUCAAUCCCCAGUGCCCCCA
rnacentral:tRNA from 1 species